GACGCACGCUGGCGGCGUGCUUAACACAUGCAAGUCGAACGAAGUGGCGAACGGGUGAGUAAUACGUGGGUAACCUGCCCUCCUUUUAGGGAUAAGCCUUGGAAACGGGGUCUAAUACCGAAUAAAGGGGGACGGGCUCGCGGCCUUUCAGCUUGUUGGCGGGGUGAUGGCCUACCCAGGAGGUGACGGGUAGCCGGCAUGGGAGGGUGGAGGACAAGAUAGGGACAGAGUGACGGGCGAGACGCAUACGAGAGGGAGCAGUGGUGGAUAUGGCGCGAUGGGCGGUGGCCGUGUGCAGCGACGCCGCGUGGGGGGUGAAGGCUUUAGGGUUGUAAACCUCUUGCGCUAGCGAACGGGUGGUUGGAUAAGAAGCGCCGGCUGACUCUGUGCCAGCAGCCGCGGUAAUAC
rnacentral:rRNA from 1 species